rnacentral:rRNA from 1 species
UACAGAGGGUGCAAGCGUUGUUCGGAAUUAUUGGGCGUAAAGCGCGUGUAGGCGGUGGUUCAAGUCGGGUGUGAAAGCCCCCAGCUUAACUGAGGAAGUGCGCCCGAAACUGAAUCGCUAGAGUGUCGGAGGGGAAGGCGGAAUUCCCGGUGUAGAGGUGAAAUUCGUAGAUAUCGGGAGGAACACCAGUGGCGAAGGCGGCCUUCUGGACGAACACUGACGCUGAGACGCGAAAGCGUGGGUAGCAAACAGG